CCUACGGGGGGCAGCAGUGAGGAAUCUUGGUCAAUGGGCGAGAGCCUGAACCAGCCAAGUCGCGUGAGGGAGUACUGCCCUAUGGGUUGUAAACCUCUUUUGUCGGGGAGCAAAAGCCGGACGUGUCCGGCUGUGAGAGUACCCGAAGAAAAAGCAUCGGCUAACUCCGUGCCAGCAGCCGCGGUAAUACGGAGGAUGCGAGCGUUAUCCGGAUUUAUUGGGUUUAAAGGGUGCGCAGGCGGAUUUUUAAGUCAGCGGUAAAAUCGUGGGGCUCAACCCCAUCCAGCCGUUGACACUGGGGAUCUAGAGUGUGCGAGAGGUAUGCGGAAUGCGUGGUGUAGCGGUGAAAUGCAUAGAUAUCACGCAGAACCCCGAUUGCGAAGGCAGCAUACCGGUGCACAACUGACGCUCAGGCACGAAAGCGUGGGUAUCGAACAGGAUUAGAUACCCCAGUAGUC
rnacentral:rRNA from 1 species